ACUUGAUAAGUGACUUAAACUUGAAGGAGGUUAAGUGACAAAUGAAAUGGGAUUUUAUUAGGAUGGUCUAGACUUUUUUUUUUUUUUUUCUUUUUUUUUUUCUACCACACCAAGAAGCAUCCUUUGUGCAGUGUAUGCAUUUAGGCAUCCAGUGCUACUGUGAUGGCUUUUGAAUUCUCUCUUCCUGAAUUGCUAUGAUUUUCCAUACAUUUUACUGGGAUGAGGCAGAGGCCUGUUAAAUUUGAGUUUCUAUGCAGUCUGCUGGGAUGAGGCAGAGACCUGUUAAAUUAAGGUUGCCUGCACAUCCUUGGAUUGCAUGAUGUCCAUAGAUGCUGUAUUGGUGGGUCCCACUUUUGUCCUGGUGGCCAUAGCGUGGUUGUCGUGAUGAUCAGGUAUCAUCUGCACAAAAUGACCUUUAACCAAGGACUGGCAUCUUUCAGAGGAAUAUUGUUUGUCCGACACUAAGUGGGUCAAGUCCUUUAGUGGUACCAGGUUGCACACCUGAAGUAGUCUUAACAGUAGGUGCUACCUGAAGUCAUCCAAACGGGACUACAGUGGCAGUUCUGUGCCUACCCUUGGAAGUUCUGUACCCACUUCAUACUGAAGAUGGUGGUUCCAUGACUGGCUGAUUAAGGAUAUUGUCCUGUGUACAGGUUGCCCCAGUUGUAACUUAAUGCUGGUGUUUUGUUGACCUUAAAGGUCACUUAAAUGGCAUCCAGGGAAAAGCUGAAUUGUGGAUGAAACCUUGAUUUGUUGGCUCCUGAUUUCCUAUAGUAUGCUGAAUUGGCAUGUUUAAGACUGACAAUACAAAUGCUCUCCCCACCCCAUUUUGUACUUGUAAUAAAGUCACUUGCUAAUGUAUUACUGCUUUUUGGGAAGUGUCCCCUCUGACAUUUAAGUAGUUUGCUAAAUAAAUGGAUUUGCUCAAUUUCAAA